rnacentral:rRNA from 1 species
UACGGGGGGGCAAGCGUUGUUCGGAAUUACUGGGCGUAAAGGGCUCGUAGGUGGCCAACUAAGUCGGACGUGAAAUCCCUCGGCUUAACCGGGGAACUGCAUCCGAUACUGGAUGGCUUGAGUUCGGGAGAGGGAUGCGGAAUUCCAGGUGUAGCGGUGAAAUGCGUAGAUAUCAGGAGGAACACCGGUGGCGAAGGCGGGUCUCUGGGCCGAUACUGACGCUGAGGAGCGAAAGCGUGGGAGCGAACAGG